UGUACAAGAAGCAUGGCACCAGCAUCUGCUUCUGGUGAGGCCUCAGGAAGCUUUUACUCAUGGCAGAAAGCAAAGACAGAACAAGAGAGAUGCCAGCUCUUUUAAAAAAUCAGAUCUCAUGUGAACUAACAAGGGAGUGGAUGACAGACACUGUGAUGUUGCUAAACCACCUAUAAGUUUAGGCUGAUGUGAGUGUUUAGCAGCCACAUGCAUACCAGCUGCUACUUCCAGGAGUGCCACUUUAAGUCUUCAGAAUGUGGGCAGCUGACUCCUUCAUGAAUGACACCAGCCAUACUUCUGAAACUACAGCUGCUGGGCCUCUCUGAGCCUUCUCCGUGUGAUGGCAGAGGCAGACCUAGUCGUAGCUGCAGAAACAAAGGUGAAGGACCACCUGAAGCUGGCUGGUGGGUACUGUUCUAUGCUUACUUCAGUGCACAUAUGCACACAGGCCUUCAGAGACGGUUACCCCAUUUACCCCAUUUGGCUGCCUCUUAUCCAAAGGACUCUAAGUGACACUGAAAGCAGGAUGCAGAGUGAUGACCCACUCCUGUUGAUAAGCAGCAUAUGUAGGAAAUGCUCCAGAGGAAAAGAACAGCCAUUUUACACUAUGACUAGGCCAUACUUCAACUGGCCUGAUGAGAAGGACAGCAAGCUUUUCAACACUGGCCUCAUGGAGUCAGGUGAUGCACAGGUAUCAAAUGCUAUCCCUCAGACAGGUUUUUAAGAGGACAGUAUUUGCACAACAGUGAUAAAGGCUACCAUGGGAAUUGCAAAUUCGAUUUGACUUACAGCAGUCAUGCUUUCCUCUAGAGACAGAGAGGAUUUGAGCUGCAGGGAAACACACACAUACACACACACACACAACUCCUUGCACUGCCUGAAAAUUAGUAUGGAUUGACAAAAUGAAAUAGCAUAGUAGACUGGCAGAGGGAUGAUAAUUGCAGUAGGGCAACCAGGGCUGGUUGAGCCCAGAGGAGGAAAUUAUCAUUUUG